CUACGGGGGGCACCAGUGGGGAAUAUUGCACAAUGGACGAAAGUCUGAUGCAGCAACGCCGCGUGGAGGAUGACACAUUUCGGUGCGUAAACUCCUUUUAUAUAAGAAGAUAAUGACGGUACUAUAUGAAUAAGCACCGGCUAACUCCGUGCCAGCAGCCGCGGUAAUACGGAGGGUGCAAGCGUUACUCGGAAUCACUGGGCGUAAAGAGCGUGUAGGCGGGCUAAUAAGUUGGAAGUGAAAUCCUAUGGCUCAACCAUAGAACUGCUUCCAAAACUGUUAACCUAGAAUAUGGGAGAGGUAGAUGGAAUUUCUGGUGUAGGGGUAAAAUCCGUAGAGAUCAGAAGGAAUACCGAUUGCGAAGGCGAUCUACUGGAACAUUAUUGACGCUGAGACGCGAAAGCGUGGGGAGCAAACAGGAUUAGAUACCCGCGUAGUC
rnacentral:rRNA from 1 species